UUCUGGCAAUUCCGGUGUUAUGAUUACCUCAGAACCUUUAAUGGGAGGUUCAAACUACCUAGCUUGGGCUUCGUCUGUUGAGUUGUGGUGUAAAGGUCAAGGAGUUUACGAUCAUUUAACAAAAAGGGCUAUCGAAGGUGAUGAGAAGGGCAAAACACUGUGGGAAAAGGUCGGUGCUCAGUUAUGUAGUAUCUUCUGGCGAUCUAUUGAUUCCAAGUUGACGCCUUUGUUCCGUCCAUUCCAGACAUGUUAUUUAGUUUGGGAAAAGGCUCGUAAUUUAUACACUAAUGACAUAUCUCGUUUCUAUGAUGUAAUAUCGCGAAUGA
rnacentral:lncRNA from 1 species